GACGAACGCUGGCGGCGUGCCUAACACAUGCAAGUCGAACGGAAAGGCCCUGCUUGCUGGGUACUCGAGUGGCGAACGGGUGAGUAACACGUGGGUGCUCUGCCCUGCACUUCGGGAUAAGCCUGGGAAACUGGGUAUAUUCCCGAAUAGGACACACUUUCAGCGGGAUGGUUGGAAAGUUUUUUCGGUGUUGGGCGAGCUGGCGGCCUAUCAGCUUGUUGGUGAGAUUAUGGCCUACCAAGGCGGCGACGGGUAGCCCGCCUGAGAGGGUGGACGGCGACAUUGGGACUGAGAGACGGCCCAGACGCGGACGGGAGGCAGCAGUGGGGAAGAUUGCACAAUGGGCGCAAGCCUGAUGCAGCGGCGCUGCGGGGGGGAUGACGGCCUUCGGGUUGUAAAAUCCUAUCGCUAUAGAAGAAGCUUGUUGUGACGGUACCUAGAGAAGAAGCACCGGCUAACUACGUG
rnacentral:rRNA from 1 species